CGUGGACUUGUGCCUCCCAAUGGGCUGUUCCAUUUCAUGCUCCUAUUUCGAGAAGUUUAGUACUUUUCUCGAAUGGGUGGUGCGGGUGGAGGCAGGGAGCCGUUCAGUAGUGCACUACUUGGACGAUUUCCUUUGCGUGGGGCCGGCUGCCUCCUCGGCGUGCCAGCAACUGCUUAGGACCAUGGAAUGGGUGGCGGGCCACUUCGGGGUGCCGCUGGCUGCGGAUAAGACGGAGGGCUCGGCGACGUGCCUUAGUUUCCUGGGGUUGGAAAUAGAUUCGGUCUUGGGUGAAUGCCGG